rnacentral:rRNA from 1 species
UCAAGCGAACAAGGGCGCAGGGCGAAUGCCUUGGCACUGGGAGCCGAUGAAAGACGUGAUAAGCUGCGAUAAGCUUCGGGGAGCUGCAAAUAAGCAUUGAUCCGGAGAUCUCUGAAUGAGGAAACUCACCUGGGUUCAUACUCAGGUACGUUACACUGAACUUCAAAAUAGGUGUAUCGGGGGAACCGCCUGAACUGAAACAUCUAAGUAGGGCGAGGAAGAGACAUCAAACGAGAUUCCGUAAGUAGUGGCGAGCGAACGCGGAAGAGGGCAAACCGGAGGUAGAAAUACUUCCGGGGUACGGACUGCUUUUAGGACUUAAUCUGUUAACCGAACGGCAUGGGAAGGCCGGUCAGAGAGUGUGAGAACCACGUAGGUGAAAACGACAAGAGCCGAGCAAGUUCCAGAGUACGGCCAGACACGUGAAACCUGGUCGGAAGAUGGGGGGACCACCCUCCAACCCUAAAUACUACCCAGUGACCGAUAGCGUAUAGUACUGUGAAGGAAAGGUGAAAAGCACCCCGGGAGGGGAGUGAAAAAGAACCUGAAACCCUGUGCCUACAAGCACCUAGAGCGCGUCAAUGCGUGAUAGGGUACUUUUUGUAGAACGGUCCGGCGAGCGAUUGUAUGCAGCAAGGUUAAGGACUUAAGGUCUGGAGCCGAAGCGAAAGCGAGUUUGAAAAGGGCGUUAAGUUGCAUAUAAUGGGCCCGAAACCGGGUGACCUACCCAUGGUCAGGUUGAAGUGGAAGUAAAAUUCCAUGGAGGACCGAACCGACCUCCGUUGAAAAGGCGGCGGAUGAACUGUGGGUAGCGGAGAAAUUCCAAUCGAACCCGGAGAUAGCUGGUUCUCCCCGAAAUAGUUUUAGGACUAGCCUCAAGUUAGAUACCUGGAGGUAAAGCACUGAAUAGCCUAGCGGCCGAGAGGUUAGCGAAGCUUAUCAAACUCAGAAUGCCAGAGUAUUGAUGCUUGGGAGUCAGACAGUGUCAGAUAAAUGUCAUUGUCAAAAGGGAAACAGCCCAGAUCUACAGCUAAGGUCCCAAAGUCAGGUUAAGUGGAAAACGAUGUGAAGAUACGCAGACAACCAGGAUGUUGGCUCAGAAGCAGCCACUCAUUCAAAGAGUGCGUAAUAGCUCACUGGUCGAGCGUCUUUGCGCGGAGAAUUUAACGGGGCUAAACCUGACACCGAAGCUUAGGCAAUCCAGUAAUGGAUUGGGUAGGGGAGCGUUGUAUACGCGGAGAAACAGUAGCGUAAGCGGCUGUGGAGUGUAUAGAAGUGAGAAUGCCGGAAUGAGUAGCGCGAAUGCAGUGAGAAUCUGCAUGGCCGAAAGCCUCAGGUUUCUGGAGGAAGGUUCGUCCGCUCCAGGUUAGUCGGGAGCUAAGGUGAGGCCGGAAGGCGUAGCCGAUGCACAGACGGUAGAGAUUCCGUCACCACCAAAAGAGUUAAGCACAGGGACACAUUUGAAGUCUCAGAGCCGGGUGUUGGUUCCGGUAGAGAUCGAGGGAAGUUAGUACCGAAGUCUGGGAUGGAAGAUGGCGAGAAAAGCUGUGUGUAUUUCUGAGGUGCCCGUACCGCAAACCGACACAGGUAGGUAGGAAGAAGAUUCUAAGGCCAACGGGAGAAGGGUUGUUAAGGAACUCGGCAAAUUGACCCCGUAACUUCGGGAGAAGGGGUGCUCCAGAGAUGGAGCCGCAGAGAAUCGGCCCAAGCAACUGUUUACCAAAAACACAGGUUUGUGCUAAAUCGAAAGAUGACGUAUACGAGCUGACGCCUGCCCGGUGCUGGAAGGUUAAAAGGAGAUGUGCAAGCAUUGAAUUGAAGCCCCAGUGAACGGCGGCCGUAACUAUAACGGUCCUAAGGUAGCGAAAUUCCUUGUCAGGUAAG